rnacentral:rRNA from 1 species
CCUACGGGUGGCAGCAGUGGGGAAUAUUGCACAAUGGGGGAAACCCUGAUGCAGCGACGCCGCGUGAAGGAAGAAGGCUUUCGGUUUGUAAAGCUCUAUUAGCAGGGAAGAAAAUGACAGUACCUGCCCAAUAAUCCCCGGCUAACUCCGUUCCAGCAGCCGCGGUAAUACGUAGGGGGCAAGCGUUAUCCGGAGUGACUGGGCGUAAAGGGUGCGUAGGCGGGUAUGUAAGUCUGCAGUGAAAGCCCGGGGCUCAACUCCGGGACUGCUUUGGAAACUGUGUAGCUGGAGUGCAGGAGGGGCAGGCGGAAUUCCUGGUGUAGCGGUGAAAUGCGUAGAUAUCAGGAGGAACAC